AGGGGAUCUUCGGACCUUUCGCUAUGAGAUGAGCCUGCGUUAGAUUAGCUAGUUGGUAGGGUAAAGGCCUACCAAGGCGACGAUCUAUAGCUGGUCUGAGAGGACGAUCAGCCACACUGGGACUGAGACACGGCCCAGACUCCUACGGGAGGCAGCAGUGGGGAAUAUUGGACAAUGGGCGAAAGCCUGAUCCAGCAAUACCGCGUGUGUGAAGAAGGCCUUAGGGUUGUAAAGCACUUUCAAUUGGGAGGAAAACCUGCCGGCCAAUACCCAGUAGCUUGACAUUACCUUUAGAAGAAGCACCGGCUAACUCCGUGCCAGCAGCCGCGGUAAUACGGAGGGUGCGAGCGUUAAUCGGAAUUACUGGGCGUAAAGCGUGCGUAGGCGGUUCGUUAAGUCAGAUGUGAAAGCCCUGGGCUCAACCUGGGAACUGCAUUUGAAACUGGCGGACUAGAGUUUAGUAGAGGGGAGUGGAAUUUCAGGUGUAGCGGUGAAAUGCGUAGAUAUCUGAAGGAACACCAGUGGCGAAGGCGACUCCCUGGACUAGAACUGACGCUGAGGUACGAAAGCGUGGGUAGCAAACAGGAUUAGAUACCCUGGUAGUCCACGCCGUAAACGAUGUCGACUAGC
rnacentral:rRNA from 1 species